AGAGGGAUAGCUCAAGUGGUAGAGUACAUGCCUAGCAUGCAUGAGGUCUCAGGUUCAAUCCCCAAUACCUCCA
rnacentral:tRNA from 1 species